AGGGUAUCUAGUUGGAGAUCCCUGUGUACCUGAGGUCUUCUGAAGGUCCUUCUGCCAACCAGUUAAACAUGUUUGUGUUAAUUUGAAGUCAAGGAGAUUCCUCAGGUUCGUUUCUGAGCCCCAUAGAGAGUGUGGCUGAUUAAGAGUGGAGAGCUGAAAGAAGGAAAAUGAUCUGAGAAUAACUUUCAUUCUUGAUACCACUCAAAUUCAUCUGUUGAAUGUAAAGUGAGGAAGAAGCCCUGGUGCAUUUGUAGAAUCAGAGACAUUCACUCAAUGCCCUGGAAAUAUCUUUGCCCACUUUCAGGCUUGCUGUUCCUGUCUUGCUUAUUCUUUCCUAUUCUCAAUUUACUUGAAAAGAAAACUGAAUUUACACACUCUCCUGAGAAAAUGGUUUAUCCUGGAAAGCAGAAGUCAGUCUGAUUAUGAAAAAAAGCUAUGACUAAAUUAAACACAUAAAUUCUGUCAUUUUUAAUUCUUCAUCCACCUUUGCAAUACCUGCCAGGGUACAAGAAGGAACUUUGUACUCAUUUUUUUUCUUGUAGAAAUUUAAAAUGGGUUGCAGGUAUUCGUCUCCUCAAUUGUUUCAAACUUUCCUGUCAUUGUAUCUCACUGAAAUGUAAAUUAUUACUGAACACUAAUCUUCACAUGAAAUGGGGUCUAUAACAGUGAUUAUGAUAGGAAGAUUCAAUGCAUAAAUGAGAUGAAAUUAAAGUUGGUUGAAAAUGUUUAAACUUUUGAAUUUAUAGUGAAAGGAAGAGUAGCUUUAGUGAAAGAUGCUUCUUUCAGCCAGCUGUGAAUAAUGUGUCUUUAUAUACAUAUACAUACACAUAUACACAUAUGUGUGCAUGUGUAUUUGUUAUGUCCCAUUGGACAGAAUACACUAAUUAAAACAAAAGCCAAUCCAACUGAUAAACAUAAUGUACAUUACAAAGACAGGCAAUAAAUGUAGUCGUGUUUGUAUAUGCUGCUAUCAACCAGACAGGGAUUGUGAAGCAGAACGUGAAAAAGUAAGCAAAGUGCAAUUUAUGUUCAAACGGUGACUGCAGUUUAGUUUUCCCUGUACUGUUCCCUUUGCAGAAAGUGUCACUUUCUUGUCCUUAACGUCACAGAGUUGUCAAUGAGGCAUGUUGAACAUUUGCAAUGUUUUUGAAGGUCAAAUGAUGAGGCAUAUGAAGGAUAGGAAAUGUGAAGAAAGAAAAGUGCAAAGAUUGAUUGUCAAAUGUCACGUCAGUGCUUCAUUGCAUGGUUGACAGAAAGGCAGGAAAGGAAGAUAUCAUAAAAGGCAAAUAGGGAAGGGAAAGACUGGGAGUAAAAAUGAAUGCAGAGGAGCCUUGCUUCAAAAUAAAAGCAGAUGGGAAUUAAAGCUAAUUUAGAACUGUAUACGUAAAUGUAACCUUCAUAAAGGAUGGGUGCUGAAGGAAGCAGGACCCUGUGAGUGGUCUAGAUUUGUAGUUGUUUCUGCUGUCCUUAUCCACAAUAUUGUUGUAUGGAAAUCAGUGAUGUAUGCAAUUUUAUUUGCAGUAUUUACAUUGUUUUGGUAAAAAAAAAAAAAAAAAAAAGUCAAUUUUUUUGUCCGCCCAGUGGUUGGACAUUUCAAGCAUAUCAUAGGAAAAGUAAAUGUUUGCUCUUGUGUCAAAUUUAACCGAGCAGUUAAUGCCUUUCAGAACUGUAUAUUACACUCUUACUCCUUUUGAUAGAGACAAAAAUGUUUGUAAAGUAUUUGUCCCUUCAGUAGUUACACCAGUAAAGAUUUUGAGAAAUCCUUCCUUCCUUACCAGUUCUCUAGGGCUACCAUUCCUCAACAAAGGGCUGAUCCUGCUCAAGUCCAGCCAUUUAGAUGAAUCUAAGCCAUGCAAUAGGUAUGGAUCAACGAUAGCUCAGCACAGAACAUGAUACUGAGGCUGUCAAAUGAAUAACAGUGUCCAGAGUAGUUCACUGGAUCAGCCGUUUCUGACUGCAUGUAAAAGAGAAGGCAUUGGAAGCUAACGACACUUUGCUUCGGUAGCCAUCAGAGUAUAUUUAUUGUGCUGCAGAAAAGAAAUAUUGGUGUAAGCAUUCUUAUUCUCUGAAUCUAGCUAAUUUUCACAAUGACAAGGUCCUAGGUGUAACUCCAUGGACCUGAACAUAUUUUAAAUCUGGUCAUAAUCAGUAAAACUUUCGCUCUUACUAAAGUUAUGGAACCACAUAUCAGACAAAGGAGAUAUAUUGUUCCCAUGGUGUGAUAUCAGAGAAAAACUUGUUACUCUUAUCUGUGAUGUCAGAGAAGGGCAUCACUGCUGUAUUCUUCUCUGCAGUUCACUGGAAAAGAAUGAAUCUGUAAAUAUACACCGUAAUUCUAUUCUCCUUCAUGAUCUGACAAAUUUAUAUCUGUCUUUAAUGUGGGAGCCACUAUGUGAGAUAUCAGCUACUUCAAAAGACCUCUCUCACAUUUGCUGGGUUUGCACUGAUAAAGAUGUGUAAUGGCAUCCUGCAUUCUGUACGGAUACCUGAGGGGGCACCU